rnacentral:lncRNA from 1 species
UGUGAGGAUGCGGCCUGGCAUGUUGGAAGUGCUCAGAUUAAUUAGCUUCUCUCGUUACCUUACCAAGGCAAGCCCAGCCUUGAGGGGAGGAAGGUGGUGCUGUGGCUUGUCUGGCACGUCUAGGCCCCGACCCGGAAAGUGCCACGUUCCGGGACCUCAUGCUGUAUCGAGGCUCUUCCCAGCCCCCAGGCUCCUGCUUCCAGCCCCUCCCAGAGCUGAGGGUGGCCGUUGGGCACAGCGGCAGAGGACAGCUCCUGGGCUCCACCUUUUCCCUCACGCUGCCAGCACCAGGUUGGCGGCUUCUCGCUCAGCUGCCUUGGCAAGAGGGCAGGUCCAGGCUGGAGCCAGGUGUUGAGUGGCAGCAACCAGGAGGUGCUCCUGCCAGCCCUUCAUGCACUUUUUCUCACUUCUCCCUUCUUUUUGUAAAUAAUCACGCCUGCUUAGAUGCCUGGUGACUCUCAUCUUGCAGCAGGCCACACUGUUGGCCUCCAAUGAAGCCUUUAAAAAGCAGAUGGAGAGUGCUAGUGAGGCGGCCAAGAAGUACACGGAGAAUGACCAGCUCAAGAAGUGAGCUGCUGUUGACGGAGGCAAGUUGGAUGUCGGGAAUGCUGAGGUGAAGUUGGAGGAAGAGAACAGGAGCCUGAAGGCUGAGCUGCAGAAGCUAAAGGAUGAGCUGGCCAGCACUAAGCAAAAACUAGAGAAAGCUGAAAACCAGGUUCUGGCCAUGCAGAAGCAGUCUGAGGGCCUCACCAAGGAGUACGACCGCUUGCAGUAGGAGCACGCAAAGCUGCAGGCUACAGUAGUUGGUCCCAUGGACAAGAAGAAAGAGUAAGGGCCUCCUUCCUCCCUGGCCUGCAGCUGGCUUCCACCUGGCACGUGCCUGCUGCUUCCUGAGAGCCCAGCCUCUCCCUCCAGUACUUCUGUUUGUGCCCUUCACUUCCCCCAUUCCCUUCCACAGCUCAUAGCUCGUCAUCUUGGCCCUUGUCCACACUCUCCAAGCACAUUACAGGGUACCUGAUUGCUACACGUUCAGAAUGCAUUUGCUGUUAUCCUGCUUGGCCUGGCCAGGCCUGGCACAGCCCUGGCUUCCACGCCUGAGCGUGGAGGACACGAGUUAGUUGUAGUUUGGCUUGCGGUGGGGCUGACUUCCUGUUGGUUUGAGCCCUUUUUUGUUUUGCCCUCUGGGUGUUUUCUUUGGUCCCGCAGGAGGGUGGGUGGAGCAGGUGGACUGGAGUUUCUCUUGAGGGCAAUAAAAGUUGUCAUGGUGUGUAUGUGGUGCGGUGUGUGACUGUGGCCAUGGAGAGGGCUCUGCUUUCUUUCCUGCCUGGAGCCCCCAAGGGGCCACAGGCCUUCAACCUGUUUCCACCACUGAAGGCCAGGCUCACACCUGUUCUCAAAGGCCCUGCCCUCUCUGUCCUCUUGCUCCCCGGGCUGGGCCAGGCCUCGCUUCAGGGCCACCCACUGAGUGUGUGUCCUGUCUGCCUCCCUGGGUGUGGGCAGCUUGGGAGGCUCAGUAAACCGGCAGGGCUUCUGGGUAGAGGACUCGCUUGCCUUCUCUGGGUUCCCGUUCGUCACAUUUGGGACAGACAGAACGUGGCAGAAUGCCACUAGUCACUCCCUGCCCCACCCCCUCCUGAAGGUUUGCAGGAUGACCUCUGACUAAUGCCAGCUGGGAGAGGAGACUUGUCCUUGGCAGUGACCUGGAGCUGGCCCAGGGCAGAGCUAGGCAGAAAGGGGCUGGGGCCCUUGGCCCUGAGAACGUGCUGGGUGUGUGCCUGCCACCAGAGCGCUGUGCUGGUGCUGGCUCCAGGGCGUCCCUCCCGUGGCUCCCUCAAAGCUGUGUCUUCCAGGCCCACAGCAAGCCAGGCCAGAACCGAGGCUUCCUGCCUGGCGCCAGUGCCCAGGCCCCUGCACUGUGCUGCUCUCCAGUAGCAC